GACGAACGCUGGCGGCGUGCCUAAUACAUGCAAGUAGGACGCAGUUGCGAACGGGUGAGUAACGCGUAGGUAACUACCUAUUAGAGGGGGAUAAAUAUUGGCAACGAUAGCUAAUACCGCAUACUAGUAGAUGGACCUGCGUUGUAUUAGCGAGUAGGUUGGGUAAUGGCCUAACUAGGCAACGAUACAUAGCCGACCUGAUGGGGUGGUGGGCCACACUGGGACUUAGACACGGCCCAGAAUCCUACGGGGGGGAGCCAGAGGGAAUCUUCGGCCAUGGGGGGAACCCUGACCGAGCAACGCCGCGGGAGUGGAGAAGGUUUUCAGAGCGUAAAGCUCUGUUGUUAAGGAAGCGGUACUUAACCAGAAAGGAACGGCUAACUACGUGCCAGCAGCCGCGGUAAUAC
rnacentral:rRNA from 1 species